rnacentral:rRNA from 1 species
CAGUAGCCGCGGUAAUACGUAGGUGGCAAGCGUUAUCCGGAAUUAUUGGGCGUAAAGCGCGCGUAGGCGGUUUUUUAAGUCUGAUGUGAAAGCCCACGGCUCAACCGUGGAGGGUCAUUGGAAACUGGAAGACUUGAGUGCAGAAGAGGAAAGUGGAAUUCCAUGUGUAGCGGUGAAAUGCGCAGAGAUAUGGAGGAACACCAGUGGCGAAGGCGACUUUCUGGUCUGUAACUGACGCUGAUGUGCGAAAGCGUGGGGAGCAAACAGGAUUAGAGACCCCUGUAGUCCCUGUCUCUUAUAC